UACAGAGGUCCCGAGCGUUGUUCGGAAUUAUUGGGCGUAAAGGGCGCGUAGGCGGCCUGGCACGUGAACGGUGAAAUCCCUCGGCUUAACCGAGGAACUGCCUUUCAGACUGCUUGGCUUGAGACCGGGAGAGGUGAGUGGAAUUCCCAGUGUAGCGGUGAAAUGCGUAGAUAUUGGGAGGAACACCAGUGGCGAAGGCGGCUCACUGGACCGGUACUGACGCUGAUGCGCGAAAGCGUGGGGAGCAAACAGG
rnacentral:rRNA from 1 species